rnacentral:rRNA from 1 species
GGGUUGUGAGGUUAAGCGACUAAGCGUACACGGUGGAUGCCCUGGCAGUCAGAGGCGAUGAAGGACGUGCUAAUCUGCGAAAAGCGUCGGUAAGGUGAUAUGAACCGUUAUAACCGGCGAUGUCCGAAUGGGGAAACCCAGUGUGAUUCGUCACACUAUCGUUAACUGAAUACAUAGGUUAACGAGGCGAACCGGGGGAACUGAAACAUCUAAGUACCCCGAGGAAAAGAAAUCAACCGAGAUUCCCCCAGUAGCGGCGAGCGAACGGGGAGCAGCCCAGAGUCUGAAUCAGCUUGUGUGUUAGUGGAACGGUCUGGAAAGUCCGACGGUACAGGGUGAUAGUCCCGUACACCAAAAUGCACAGGUUGUGAACUCGAAGAGUAGGGCGGGACACGUGGUAUCCUGUCUGAAUAUGGGGGGACCAUCCUCCAAGGCUAAAUACUCCUGACUGACCGAUAGUGAACCAGUACCGUGAGGGAAAGGCGAAAAGAACCCCGGCGAGGGGAGUGAAAAAGAACCUGAAACCGUGUACGUACAAGCAGUGGGAGCACCUUUAUGGUGUGACUGCGUACCUUUUGUAUAAUGGGUCAGCGACUUAUAUUCUGUAGCAAGGUUAACCGUAUAGGGGAGCCGCAGGGAAACCGAGUCUUAACUGGGCGUUAAGUUGCAGGGUAUAGACCCGAAACCCGGUGAUCUAGCCAUGGGCAGGUUGAAGGUUGGGUAACACUAACUGGAGGACCGAACCGACUAAUGUUGAAAAAUUAGCGGAUGACUUGUGGCUGGGGGUGAAAGGCCAAUCAAACCGGGAGAUAGCUGGUUCUCCCCGAAAGCUAUUUAGGUAGCGCCUCGUGAACUCAUCUUCGGGGGUAGAGCACUGUUUCGGCUAGGGGGUCAUCCCGACUUACCAACCCGAUGCAAACUACGAAUACCGAAGAAUGUUAUCACGGGAGACACACGGCGGGUGCUAACGUCCGUCGUGAAGAGGGAAACAACCCAGACCGCCAGCUAAGGUCCCAAAGUCAUGGUUAAGUGGGAAACGAUGUGGGAAGGCACAGACAGCCAGGAUGUUGGCUUAGAAGCAGCCAUCAUUUAAAGAAAGCGUAAUAGCUCACUGGUCGAGUCGGCCUGCGCGGAAGAUGUAACGGGGCUAAACCAUGCACCGAAGCUGCGGCAGCGACACUAUGUGUUGUUGGGUAGGGGAGCGUUCUGUAAGCCUGCGAAGGUGACCUGUGAGGGUUGCUGGAGGUAUCAGAAGUGCGAAUGCUGACAUAAGUAACGAUAAAGCGGGUGAAAAGCCCGCUCGCCGGAAGACCAAGGGUUCCUGUCCAACGUUAAUCGGGGCAGGGUGAGUCGACCCCUAAGGCGAGGCCGAAAGGCGUAGUCGAUGGGAAACAGGUUAAUAUUCCUGUACUUGGUGUUACUGCGAAGGGGGGACGGAGAAGGCUAUGUUAGCCGGGCGACGGUUGUCCCGGUUUAAGCAUGUAGGCUGGUUAUCCAGGCAAAUCCGGAUAAUCAAGGCUGAGGUGUGAUGACGAGGCACUACGGUGCUGAAGUAACAAAUGCCCUGCUUCCAGGAAAAGCCUCUAAGCAUCAGGUAACAUCAAAUCGUACCCCAAACCGACACAGGUGGUCAGGUAGAGAAUACCAAGGCGCUUGAGAGAACUCGGGUGAAGGAACUAGGCAAAAUGGUGCCGUAACUUCGGGAGAAGGCACGCUGGUGUGUAGGUGAAGCCCCUGCGGGUGGAGCUGAGACCAGUCGAAGAUACCAGCUGGCUGCAACUGUUUAUUAAAAACACAGCACUGUGCAAACACGAAAGUGGACGUAUACGGUGUGACGCCUGCCCGGUGCCGGAAGGUUAAUUGAUGGGGUUAUCCGUAAGGAGAAGCUCUUGAUCGAAGCCCCGGUAAACGGCGGCCGUAACUAUAACGGUCCUAAGGUAGCGAAAUUCCUUGUCGGGUAAGUUCCGACCUGCACGAAUGGCGUAAUGAUGGCCAGGCUGUCUCCACCCGAGACUCAGUGAAAUUGAACUCGCUGUGAAGAUGCAGUGUACCCGCGGCAAGACGGAAAGACCCCGUGAACCUUUACUAUAGCUUGACACUGAACAUUGAGCCUUGAUGUGUAGGAUAGGUGGGAGGCUUUGAAGCGUGGACGCCAGUCUGCGUGGAGCCAACCUUGAAAUACCACCCUUUAAUGUUUGAUGUUCUAACGUUGGCCCCUUACCGGGGUUGCGGACAGUGUCUGGUGGGUAGUUUGACUGGGGCGGUCUCCUCCCAAAGCGUAACGGAGGAGCACGAAGGUUAGCUAAUCCUGGUCGGACAUCAGGAGGUUAGUGCAAUGGCAUAAGCUAGCUUGACUGCGAGCGUGACGGCGCGAGCAGGUGCGAAAGCAGGUCAUAGUGAUCCGGUGGUUCUGAAUGGAAGGGCCAUCGCUCAACGGAUAAAAGGUACUCCGGGGAUAACAGGCUGAUACCGCCCAAGAGUUCAUAUCGACGGCGGUGUUUGGCACCUCGAUGUCGGCUCAUCACAUCCUGGGGCUGAAGUAGGUCCCAAGGGUAUGGCUGUUCGCCAUUUAAAGUGGUACGCGAGCUGGGUUUAGAACGUCGUGAGACAGUUCGGUCCCUAUCUGCCGUGGGCGCUGGAGAAUUGAGGGGGGCUGCUCCUAGUACGAGAGGACCGGAGUGGACGCAUCACUGGUGUUCGGGUUGUCAUGCCAAUGGCACUGCCCGGUAGCUAAAUGCGGAAGAGAUAAGUGCUGAAAGCAUCUAAGCACGAAACUUGCCCCGAGAUGAGUUCUCCCUGAGACUUUAAGUCUCCUGAAGGAACGUUAAAGACGAUGACGUUGAUAGGCCGGGUGUGUAAGCGCAGCGAUGCGUUGAGCUAACCGGUACUAAUGAACCGUGAGGCUUAACCUUACAACGCCGAAG